UACGUAGGGGGCAAGCGUUGUCCGGAUUUAUUGGGCGUAAAGAGCGUGUAGGCGGUUUGGUAGGUCUGCUGUGAAAACUCGAGGCUCAACCUCGAGACGCCGGCGGAAACCCCCAAGCUAGAGUCCGGAAGCAGGAGAGUGGAAUUCCUGGUGUAGCGGUGAAAUGCGCAGAUAUCAGGAAGAACACCCGUGGCGAAGGCGGCUCUCUGGGACGGUACUGACGCUGAGACGCGAAAGCGUGGGAGCGAACAGG
rnacentral:rRNA from 1 species